GAUGAACGCUGGCGGCGUGCCUAAUACAUGCAAGUCGAGCGAACAGACGAGGAGCUUGCUCCUCUGACGUUAGCGGCGGACGGUGAGUAACACGUGGAUAACCUACCUAUAAGACUGGGAUAACUUCGGGAAACCGGAGCUAAUACCGGAUAAUAUAUUGAACCGCAUGGUUCAAUAGUGAAAGACGGUUUUGCUGUCACUUAUAGAUGGAUCCGCGCCGCAUUAGCUAGUUGGUAAGGUAACGGCUUACCAAGGCAACGAUGCGUAGCCGACCUGAGAGGGUGAUCGGCCACACUGGAACUGAGACACGGUCCAGACUCCUACGGGAGGCAGCAGUAGGGAAUCUUCCGCAAAGGGCGAAAGCCUGACGGAGCAACGCCGCGUGAGUGAUGAAGGUCUUCGGAUCGUAAAACUCUGUUAUUAGGGAAGAACAAAUGUGUAAGUAACUAUGCACGUCUUGACGGUACCUAAUCAGAAAGCCACGGCUAACUACGUG
rnacentral:rRNA from 1 species